rnacentral:snRNA from 8 species
AUACUUACCUGGCAAGGGAGAUACCGUGAUCAAGAAGGCGGUUCACCCAGGGCGAGGCUCAGCCAUUGCACUCCGGCUGUGCUGACCCCUGCGAAUUUCCCAAAUGUGGAAAUCUCGAUUGCAUAAUUUAUGGUAUUGGGGGACUGCGUUCGCGCUCUCCCCU